CAUGUUUUGUGUUCUACUCAUUUAUUAAGUUACUAUUAUCAAUCAAAUCAUUGAAACUGACCGCACUGCUGAACAAAUUGUCUGUCAAAAGCAAAAAAUACAAGUGUGUCUGUCGACUGCGAAUUCUAGGCAGCAGCAACUCAAUAUCCGUAUCAAGUUUUUGUGCCAACAGUCUAUCUUUCCUCAAGAUGACAUCUCUGACGUUUUCCUCAGAAUGGUCAAGUUGGUUUUUGAUUGUCAUUAAUGAUGUGCGGUUGAGCGGCCACUACGUUAAGUUGGGAAGACUGCAACACCGUAGAAACUGGUUCAAGAACAGAUAACUAAUUAACGACAACUAAAAGACAAAUCAGAAACACAAGGCGAGGAGACGUUUACUACACGUGCAGUUUGUUUGGUUUCACUUGCAGUCGUUAUUUUAAGAAUCGCCAAACAGUCAAAGAUCUCAAAAUUGAUACUUAAAUCUCGAAUGGAUUCGUAUUUUUCAGUUGAUUGUGUCUCACACAAAAGAGGUAAAUUUUGCACCAGCGCUAUCGCUAGGGACAGUUA
rnacentral:sRNA from 1 species